rnacentral:rRNA from 1 species
UACGAAGGGGGCGAGCGUUGUUCGGAUUUACUGGGCGUAAAGGGCGCGUAGGCGGCGCGAGAAGUCGAGUGUGAAAGCCCCGGGCUCAACCUGGGAAUUGCGCUCGAUACUCUUGUGCUUGAGUUCGGGGGAGGAGAGUGGAAUUCCCAGUGUAGAGGUGAAAUUCGUAGAUAUCGGGAGGAACACCAGUGGCGAAGGCGGCGCUCUGGGCCGGUACUGACACUGAGGAGCGAAAGCGUGGGUAGCAAACAGG